rnacentral:tRNA from 1 species
UGGUACGUAGCUUAAUCGGUAAAGCGCUUGGCUGUUAACUAAGACGAUGCAGGUUCGAAGCCUGCCGUACCAG